GGGGCGGACCAGUCGACGUUCCAGAGAUGCAGCUUUGAGGGGUACCAGGAUACCCUCUACACCCACUCCCUCCGCCAGUUCUACCGCCAGUGCGACAUCUACGGCACGGUGGACUUCAUCUUCGGCGACGCUGCCGUUGUUUUCCAGGCCUGCAACAUGUACGCCAGACUGCCGUUGGCGGGCCAGAAAAACAUGGUCACCGCCCAGGGCAGGACGGACCCAAACCAGAACACCGGAACGUCGAUCCAGGGGUGCAGGAUCCUUGCCGCCUCUGAUCUGGCGAAGAAUGGAAGCGCCACCAAGACCUACCUUGGCCGGCCGUGGAGGCUCUACUCCCGCACCGUCGUCAUGCAGUCGUUCUUGGACCAGCUGAUCGAUCCAGCUGGAUGGAGUC
rnacentral:lncRNA from 1 species